CCUACGGGUGGCAGCAGUGGGGGAUAUUGCACAAUGGGGGGAACCCUGAUGCAGCGACGCCGCGUGGGUGAAGAAGCGCCUCGGCGCGUAAAGCCCUGUUAGCAGGGAAGAAAAUGACGGUACCUGAAUAAGAAGCCCCGGCCAAAUACGAGCCAGCAGCCGCGGGAAUACGAAGGGGGCAAGCGUUAUCCGGAUUUACUGGGUGUAAAGGGGGCGCAGACGGCGCUGCAAGGAAGGAGGGAAAGCCCGGGGCCCAACCCCGGGACUGCUCUUGGAACUGCGUGGCUGGAGUGCAGGAGGGGCAGGCGGAAGUCCUGGUGUAGCGGUGAAAUGCGUAGAUAUCAGGAGGAACACCGGUGGCGAAGGCGGCCUGCUGGUCUGCAACUGACGUUGAGGUCCGAAAGCGUGGGGAGCAAACAGGAUUAGAUACCCGGGUAGUC
rnacentral:rRNA from 1 species